UUAUGCUUAGAGAGAGGUUAGAAUUGUAUAGUCUACUUAGUUGUGGUUCAGUUAUUGCAGAAAUGAAUUUCAAAAUAGCACUUAAAGAUUUUAAGUUAAUUAUUUUAUUUUAUUUUUUUAAGACAUAGGACCAGAGUAUUUCCUUGGCUAGCUUGGAACUUGCCAGGUGGUCCAGACCAACAUCCUUGAGUUUCUGUCUCCGGGCUGCGGGGAUGACAGCUUUCUCUAGGAAACUGCGUAGAAAGAAAGAAAAUGCUUUUGGGUGUGCUUCUUGAGAGGUAGCUCUGAUCCCGCGUGACCUCUGAAACUCUAGGGAAGCUAGAGGCUCCAAGUGAAGUUUGCCCUGUGUCAUUGCUCUUCUCGUCCAGGAGCUCCGAGCGGGAACUCUUGCCGAAUUGAACACAGCAAGUGGCGCUGAUGGUGGUGUGUGAUUGGUGCCUAUACUGGAGCCUGAAGGGCACCCGGCAACUCCAGGAACACUGGGGGUGACGCAACAUUGACUUGUGACCAAUUAGUACCCAAGAACGGGGGAAACUCAGGACAUGUGGGGAAACACUCUGUGUCGUUGCUAAAUAGUAUGCUUCAGCUGAGAGGAGAGUAAAAGUCGCCAAGGAGGAUUCAGUGCGAUGCUCAGAUACUCUAACUGGGUAUUGUCGUCCUUGCUUCCCUGAAGAGUGAAACUGAGCUCCUAAGGAUUGGCACCAGCUAGGGAACACAAUAAGACAAAAGCACGGGUCGGAGUUAUUUAUUUAGAUUUUACAGGAGUUCUUCUUCUUCUUAAGUUCUUAUUAUGCUCUGCACGGAUUCAGUCUUGUCCAACCCCUUUUUUAAUUGAUUUUAUUGAGCUAUACAUUUUUCUCUGUUCCCCUCCCCUCCCCUUCAAUUCUCUCCCAUGGCCCCCAUGCUCCCAAUUUACUCAGGAGAUCUUAUCAGACUUGUCCAACUGUUAAUUCUACCAUAUAUGAGGGGAAAAGAAAUCCUUCUAGUGCCCAAAAAAGAUCAAGGUUUUGGAUGCUUUGGGGAACAGUUGUGACCCCAAAAGCUAAGAAAACAGCCCCAAAUUGGAAAUAUUAAUAGAAAACAAACCUUUUUAAGAUUAUUGGGUCCAAGGCCUGUUGUAAUCAUAAUUCAUGAUAAAUGGUGGCCAGCUGCCUGACCACUACAACUGGCCGAUAGGGUUAUUAAAAGGAGCUGGCAUACCUGAACAAGUUUAGCAGAAUACUCACUCAGUUGCUUAAUUGGUCUAAUAGAGAAUGACAUGCUGGAUCAUUUAUUCCUCAUGUGAUAAAAAAUUUUACCAUUAAGUUUAUGGUGAAGAGAUUUAUUGUCCCCAGUGAGGACAGCUUUCAGUUCUAACGCUCAAGUCUCAGUGAUUGAUUUGGGGUAUAUCCUAGAGAAGGAGCUAGGAAAGUCAACAACGCAUUGUUUUACUGGUAGUCAUGACAACUAAUCACAGUUGUACUGCACUUGGGAAUAAGCAGCAACUAAGUCAGGACUCUGUCUGCUCUUGCUGUGUCUCUCUUGAAGGACUGGUUCCGAGCUUUCCUUUUGUACUUUUGGCAACAUGCCACCUGCCAGAACAGUCCGGUCCAUAGGAAUUAAAAGCUUUGAUAUGCCUGCUUAGAGAGAGAGAGAGAGAGAGAGAGAGAGAGAGAGAGAGAGAGAGAGUCUCUUUAACUCAGAACUGCUGAGCCUAUUACUUGGCUUUCAGAUAAGAAGGUCUGGGUUGAUCAGUGGCCACUACCCCAGGAAAAACUUGUGGCUAUUAAAGAAUCAAUUGAGGAACAGUUACAGGGUGGCCAUUUUGAGCCUUCAUUUGUGGGACUCUCACUCCUUAUUCUCAAAAGGAGCAAGAAGAAAUUUCCUAGCAGAAUGUUUCCCCAGGAAGAUAGUGGCCUUCCCCUCUCCCACCCAGGAGAUCCCGAGCACAAGGUCACUUAGCUCAGCCCAGCCAGCCACCUGGUUCAGGCUGAUAAAGAUGGCCUAACUCAACAACAGUGGCCUUGCUCUAAAAAGAAGGAAAAAGCUGACUUAACAGAAUGGGAGGGAGCAAAAGUCCUUGUACCCGUGGCAAAGCAGC